GAAAGAAAAUAAGCAAAAAGAACUACAAAAUAAACCCUUUAAAUUAAUUAUGGCUGCAAAGUUCUCUCUCAAGUUCGCUUUCUUGGCCGCAAUGGUUUUGUUUGUUGCUUUAUUUGGUUCAGUGGCAAGCAUACCAUUAGGUGAAAAAGCAGGCUAUACUAUACAAAGUGAAUGCAGGACUGCAGCUGAUUGUGCUAGAAAUUGUUUUUGUGAUUCUGGUAUCUGCUUUUGCAGAGAGAAGUUGUUUAACACCAACACUGAUAAGAAGAUGAGUUACAAAGGAGAUCCAAAUUAAUGUACCUCUAAAGACCAAUAAUCAAUUAAUAGUUAAGCAUAUAUUAUUUACAACUUGAUGGUUGGGAUGAUAUGAUGUUAUAGAUUUUAAAAAUUCAAUAAACUAGUUGGUACGUAUAUAUGCCAACACUAUUCCUUCUGGAGUUUAUAAAAGUUCAAAGGAAUAAGAUUAUGUCACAGUUUGGAGUA